rnacentral:rRNA from 1 species
AGCGAACGCUGGCGGCAGGCCUAACACAUGCAAGUCGAACGGACCCUUCGGGGUUAGUGGCGGACGGGUGAGUAACACGUGGGAACGUGCCUUUUGGUUCGGAAUAGCUCCUGGAAACGGGUGGUAAUGCCGAAUGUGCCCUUUGGGCGAAAGAUUUAUCUGCAUUAGAGCGGCCCGCGUCUGAUUAGCUAGUUGGUGAAGUCAAGGCUCACCAAGGGGACGAUCAGUAACUGGUCUGAGAGGAUGACCAGCGACAUUGGGACGGAGCAACGGCCCAAAAUCCUCCGGGAGGCAGCAGUGGGGAAUCUUGCGAAAUGGGCGAAAGCCUGACGCAGCCAUGCCGGUUGAAUGAUGUAGGUCUUAGGAUUGUAAAAUUCUUUCACCGGGGACGAUAAUGACGGUACCCGGAGAAGAAGCCCCGGCUAACUUCGUGCCAGCCGCCGCCGUAACAC